ACUCAAAGGAAUAGACGGGGGCCCGCACAAGCAGCGGAGCGUGUGGUUUAAUUCGACGCAACGCGAAGAACCUUACCCAGGCUUGACAUGCCCCUGCAUCCCGGUGAAAGCCGGUGGCCUACGAGGGUGGGGCACAGGUGCUGCAUGGUUGUCGUCAGCUCGUGUCGUGAGAUGUUGGGUUAAGUCCCGCAACGAGCGCAACCCGCGUCGCCAGUUAUACGUGUCUGGCGAGACAGCCGCCUUUAUGGGCGGAGGAAGGCGCGGAUGACGUCAAAUCCGCAUGGCCCUUACGCCUGGGGCGACACACACGCUACAAUGGGCCGGCACAGAGCGCUGCAAGCCCGCAAGGUGGAGCAAAUCGCCAAACCGGUCCCCAGUUCAGAUCGGGGGCUGCAACUCGCCCCCGUGAAGGUGGAGUUGCUAGUAACCGCGUAUCAGCCAUGGCGCGGUGAAUGCGUUCCCGGGCCUUGUACACACCGCCCGU
rnacentral:rRNA from 1 species